rnacentral:lncRNA from 1 species
GGCGACAGAGCGAGACUCCGUCUCAACAACUAUGACAACAACAAACAGUUUGGGACAGAGAAAAAUCCCUGUAAACUUCAAGCCUUUUGGGGUGCUCUUGGGUGAACUCCUAAAUUGCUCAAGGGCUAACUUCCUCAUUUAUUAUUAAAAGAAAAAAGAAAAAGGCAGAGGCCAGUGGUGAAGGCUGGCGAUUUCUGGUCUAGGGUGAGAGAUAACAGAAAGUAACAAUGGAGGCUCUCGCAGUGCUCGCAGGCACUCAAGGAACGGAAAGGAAAUUGCACAUUUCACCCGUGACUGCAUAGGCAAACGAGAACAGCAAGUCUCUGCUUUCAGCUGGAAUGUUAUCAACUUCGGUCACGCUGAUUAUCUCAGGCUGAUCAGGAAGGCUGGUACCAGGAGUGAGUGACUAAAUGAAGAAAUUACUAAUUAACAAAUGCUUGGGUGGACAAUCCUUCAAAAUUUAGGAUCAAUGGGAGGAGACAGAAGGAGUCUUGGGAGGAUUUUUAAAAUAUGCCAGAGCUGGCUGGGUACAGUGGCUCACACCUGUAACCUGAGGACUUUGAGGUGGAGACGGGCAGACCACCUGAGCUCAGGAGCUCAAGACCAGCCUGGGCAACAUGGCAAAACCCUGUCUCUACUAACACUAUAAAAAGUUAGCUGGGCGUGUUGGUGCAUGCUGUAGUCCCAGCUACUCAGGAGGCUGAGCCACGAGAAUCGCUUGAACCUGGGAGAUGGAGGUUGAAGUGAGCCAAGAUCGCACCAUUGCACUCCAGCCUGGGGAAAAAAAAAAGCCAGGCCUCCUAAUGUACUCAUUUAAACAUCACUUGUGUCCACCUGGGUUCAGAAUUGCGCUGGACAUGGGAUACACAAAGCGGGAGUGGAAUUUUCAGGAAGCAGCUGUGCUGUGGGUGACGGUCAUACUUUAUUCUCUAAAACUCUCCAGUUUCAAUUGGCCUCUUGGUGCCAAAGCACCAUGGCGUGUUACACCUAUCAGAUCGGGCACACUGCCCCUUCUUCCCAACCUACGAGCUGAAAUGGCCAGCACUGCGCCUUCCAGAACCCAGCGUAGAUGCACAGCUGCCACGGAGGUAGGAAGAAUGAUUCGUUUGCCACCAAAAGCCCAGUUUCUCCAACAGGUAAGUCCCAGCAGGGUGCGAUGUCCCAAACCUACACAACCGUUUCCACUGCCUAUUCCCGGGCCCCUCACUUGGGUCAAGGCAGCAUUUCAGAGGAAGCCAGGAGCGAGAACUCGUGCAUCCGAACCCUUCUCUGACUUGGCGGGUUAUUGGAUUAGCUACUCUCAGAAGACCCAAAAGGCAUAGGGGAGAGAAGAGAUAAAUCUGGAUGCGGUGGAGACAACGGCCAAACAGAAAAACCGCUUGGAGAAUAAAAGUCGGGGGAAGCCUGUAGUGGGGACGCUAGACUCAAGGGAAGGCUCUGGAGGAAGGAAGAGGCUAAAGGCAUAGUUUCGUAACCCCUCCCUACAAACUACCCCCUUUCCCUCUGCCCAAGUGAGCACAGGGACCGCCCCGCAGCAAGACGACGGCAGAUAUUUAAAAUGUGAGGAACCCCGGCCACAGCGGGCGGGGCUCCCCACCCAUCACCUAGUGUCCUCACUCACUGCACUCCAGACUUUGUCAAAGUGGUGGCAGCUGAGUCCAGCACCAGAGAUUGGUGAUGCUCGGGUUGAUUUCAUUGUCAAGUGCAUCUGGCAGGACUCUAGUUUGUCGACAGUAUUCCAGACAAGGUGUAGCUGGCUGAACCGCAGUGCCUCGGCAUUUGGGACCAUUGAAAAAUACUCUGGAUUCUUUUUUUUUCUUUUGCAAUUGCACAAGGAUUUACUUAUCUCUCUUCAUGGGUGAAACUGAUUUGGGGGGAAACUGCUAGACUCAAUGACCAGUUGGACUGUAGGCAAGAAGGCCCAUGAUUUUGUUCCUCAGAUAAAAGAGCAGCAGGGAAACAGGAGGCCUCUCUCCUGCAAAGCUGGUCCAAAGUGCACACAAGGCAUGGCUGAGCGCCUGGUGAUGCACAGUCAGCAGACGGGCGAGACCCAGGAACGUGUACUGUAACAAGAGAGUCUAGUGCAGGUUGUUGGGGGGGCUUGAGGCUAUCCGCUGACAUCUUUUCUCCCCAGUCAGGAGACAGUAGGGGAGAUGGUUCUCAUAGAUCAAGUCGGGCUUUGAGAAGGAAGGUGAACAGGAGAAAAAAAAAAAUAGAGGCCUCAGAAAGCCCCUCCCUCCCAAGUCUCUCCUCACAGGCGAACCACGACAGAUGGCUGCGCGGCCUGAGGGCCGGCCUCCAGGCAGCCAGGGAGGAGCAGCUGCAAGUCCUGCAGUCUGUGAGACCCCCGAAGGGUCUGGGCCAGCAUCCAAGGCUAAAGCCUUGGCUAUCCUAACGCCGCAGUGGGGCACUUAAAGCUCCUCACGCCCAAGCCCAGGCCUGGUGGGAGCACGGUUCUCUCCCGCGCUCCCCCUCCUCCCCACUCCACGGCCACCCUUCCUUCCAAUCGUCCCCCUGGAGUUCGUGUUGGAAGAUGCCAGUGAGCACGUCUCAGGGCUCUACGCCUUGCACGGAUGAGUAUGGGGUGACUCAGAGGGAAGGGGUGGUGGCAGAUGCCUGCAGCUGGCUCCCAGCCAGGUUUGGCCAUCCUGCGUAAAUGCCUGCCUUGGGUCUUGGCCUAAUACUAAGGGCAAAUCCCAAGAGGGGUGAGUGGGCUUCUGGAAUCUGAGCAAUUCUGCUUUCAAAACAGGUGAAUCCCUAGGCCAGCCCGGCCCCUUCCCACACACCCCUACCCCGAGACGGGUGCAGAAUCAGCAGCGGGGAUCAUCCAGAGACUCUCGCAGUCCACGGCAGGUGUCGGAGUGGGCCUCAUUCCAGAGUUGUGGUGGCCGCUCCACCUGGCGAGCUUCGAGGGGACUCCGGCAGGCGCUCGCUGUGGGGUCCUCCCACCAGUCUUCUCAGCACAGGAACGGUGCCUUCACAUUGGUCUUCCGGGGCUUAAAAGCAUAUCAUUCCUGCUUGCUCUUCAGAUGCAAACUCCCCCUCCAAGGAUACCUCCAGGUUCCCUGCCAGCUCACUUGACUCACAUGGCAAUGGUCACCGGGCUGCCUGAGCCCAAAUCAAGCACCGUUUAUUAGGGGGAAGCUCCGUUAUCCAGAAAGCUCAUCUUUGAAGAGCUACCCAUUUCCUGCCAAAGUUGUGGCGGGAAGGCCUUAGGUACUAGAAAACCUUGGGGAAUGGCAAUUAAAGGAUUAUCAUUCUUACUUAUUUGUUUGGAUAAGCAGCAAUCACCCUUCGGAUGCUUAUUGGUGAGAAUAUUUCUAAAAGUGUCCUGCACAUUUCCCUGCUUUGAUGAAUGGAACGGCAGGGCAGGAUUUAACUGUCUGAUGGCUACGGUUUUGGGAAAGUGCCAGAACCUCCACGUCAGCCACCCCAGAGCCACAGGCAGGGUAUGAGCCACAGCAAUGGGCCCCAAGAAAGAGCCCCACACCCACCAUGGUCCACGGAAGACGCUGCUUACUGGCCCCGGGUUACCUGGAGUCAUGUGCAUUCUCCUUACAUCAAGUGAAGAUAAUAUUUUGUUUCCUUCCCACUUUUUCUCUAACACAAGCCACCCCAGUUCUCCCUUCUGACAACAGGCAAGUGGACCCUAGUAGACCUUCCAGAAAAGCCUUAGAGAGCACCCCCAAAUGCUCACAUUUGUCAGCUGUAAUUCCACCCUCAGUUAAAACCUGAUUCUCAAUGUGACUUGGCCAACGCAGCUUGCAAAGCAAGAACGUCUUCAUCUAAGGUUGAAAACAUCAGUUGUUUGGGUUGUGAGAAAAGAAAAGCCCACAAGGUUUCCGAGGCUUGGUGCUGUUUCUCACUGUCCUCAGCUCCUGAUUCUGCAGCUGGUUCUCUCUCCAAGCACUAGCAAAACCCUGCCCUAGGAGCCCCCAGACUCUGAGAGCCCAUGACCAAAAAGAAAAGGAAAGCCAAGUUGGGGAAGAACAGGGGCCCCCAACUCCACAGCCCUCCACUCUGCCCAGAGGGCCCACCCUGGGCUGCCUGGAACCCCCUAAAGUUGCCACCCCCGCAACACAGUAGUGGGGCAGUUCCUGGCAGCGCCUGCAGCCCAUGGGCUGGCUCUGUACCCGCAGCCCCGCCAAGCGUCUGUUAUCUUAUUUACUGGAAUCUGCACAGCCAGGCUCUAGCUCACCGGUGACUAAGGAGCUGCAGCCAUUAUUACCAGGCAGAUGGCAGACUCCCUAAAAGCAGACAUUAAACAAUAAAAUGCCACCACAUACCUUGCCCACAAAAUAAAAUCAAA